CCUACGGGUGGCAGCAGUGGGGGAUAUUGCACAAUGGGGGGAACCCUGAUGCAGCGACGCCGCGUGUGGGAAGACGGUCCUCUGGAUUGUAAACCACUGUCCCCAGGGACGAAAAUGACGGAACCUGGGGAGGAAGCGCCGGCUAACUACGUGCCAGCAGCCGCGGUAAGACGUAGGGAGCGAGCGUUGUCCGGAAUUACUGGGUGGAAAGGGAGCGUAGGAGGGGAGGCAAGUUGGGUGUCAAAACUACCGGCUCAACUGGUAGUCGCACUCAAAACUGCAGCUCUUGAGGGAAGUAGAGGCAGGCGUAAUUCCUCGUGUAGCGGUGAUAUGCGUAGAUCUUAGGCGGCACCCCAGUGGCGCAGGCGGCCUGCUGGGCUUUUACUGACGCUGCGGCUC
rnacentral:rRNA from 1 species